GAGAGAAAGCGAGAGAGAAAGCACGUAUAUAUACACCUGGCUAGCUUCGUGGGGAGAGAUACACCUGCACGCCGAGCCCUCUUAGGACACCACGCCGCAGCGCAUCACGCCCCGCACCGCCGUUACCUCAAGCCAAACGAAACAAACGACAGCAGAUCCCUACCAUGCGGAACCUCGUGCUGCUGACCUUCGUGUGUGCGUGCGUGGCCACCACCCUCGCCAUGCCCGCGGCCAGGCCUCCCACGGACGAGAGAGAAGGAAGGAUAGUGGUAUUAGUAUUCCCAAAUUCACUCGGCGGCCAGGACCUUCACGCACACGAAGAGGAAGGAGGUGGAGAAGCCCAUGCAACGGCAGGAGGUGAAGGAGGUGGAGAAACCCAUGCAACGGGAGGAGGUGAAGCCAAUGUAGAAGAAGUGACAGAGCCAAAUAAAUGUUUAUUCAUCUUUUGCAUUACGAAAGCUAAUAACUGAUGACAUUAUUGAUUUUUCACCGUUGCUGCUGCUGCUGCUGUUGUUGCUGUUAUUCGUGCUGUUUCUGCUGCUGCUCGUACUGGUGUUGUUAUUGCCAAAGUACCAGCGGCUCUGCUCAAUUUCAAUACCUCAUUAUUUUUUAGUUCUGUUUUGUACCUGCAUUAAAAUGUUAUGACUGUA